GUUGUUGGACCCAUUGAGUGAAUAAACUUGGUUUGAGCUAGUUGUCCGUUUAGUUUUUCAAACAGUUUUUCAGAGCCCAACAAGGUUUCAUAUGACGUCACUGUAUUUGAGUCCACUAACACAUCUCACCUGGUUCCUGCUGAGCUGGAAGCUGUCUGUUAUCAGACUAGAGAUCCUGGAUGCCAUGAACCAGGACUAUGGGGUUCCUCUGAGCCAGCUCCAGGUGGAGAGAGGCACGG